AGCAGCAGCGGUAAUACGUAGGGGGCGAGCGUUGUCCGGAUUUAUUGGGCGUAAAGGGCGUGUAGGCGGUGUUUUAAGUCAGGGGUGAAAGUCUACGGCUCAACCGUAGGAUGGCCUUUGAUACUGUCGUCCUUGAGUCCCGGAGAGGCCAUUAGAAUUCGUGGUGUAGCGGUGAAAUGCGUAGAUAUCACGAGGAAUACCGGAAGCGUAGGCGGAUGGCUGGACGGCGACUGACGCUCAGGCACGAAAGCGUGGGGAGCGA
rnacentral:rRNA from 1 species